GCAGUUAAUAAAAAGUAACCGAGUGAACCGAGGCACUUAUUUGCCAGGCCGAUUACGAAAGGCGAGGUGCACCGUGCAAGCAUAAGGCGCAAUAUGUAGCAAAUUGCAUCCUUUAAAAAAAGUGAGCCUGCUGCAGACGCGAUAAGGGUCUUGUAGGUGGAGGUAAUGUACACAGUCGAGAUAGGGAAUGUUGCUCAAGCUAAAUAUUUGCACGCUUGCCUACUUCGCGGAGACUACGUGAAAAUUUGCGCGUCGGUUCUGUCCUUGAGGGAUCGCUGGCGGGAAGGGCCGGGCCCGGGGGGCAGCGUGCCCGCGCCCGCCGGAACCGCGGCGGGCGGCGCGCGCGCUGGCGAUGACAUCGCGACGCGCGAGUCCAGAGGGCUUCACUAGCAC